rnacentral:rRNA from 1 species
CUCAGUAACACGUAGUCAACCUACCCUAUGGACGAGAAUAAUCUCGGGAAACUGAUCAUAAUUCUUGAUAGAUCAUAAUGCCUGGAAUGGUUUAUGGUUAAAAUGAUUCGUCGCCAUAGGAUGGGACUGCGGCCUAUCAGCUUGUUGGUGAGGUAAUGGCCCACCAAGGCGAUUACAGGUACGGGCUCUGAGAGGAGAAGCCCGGAGAUGGGUACUGAGACACGGACCCAGGCCCUAUGGGGCGCAUCAGGCGAGAAAACUUUGCAAUGUGCGAAAGCACGACAAGGUUAAUCCGAGUGAUUUCUGCUAAAGAAAUCUUUUGCCAGUCGUAAAACCGCUGGUGAAUAAGGGGUGGGCAAGUUCUGGUGUCAGCCGCCGCGGUAAAACCAGCACCUCAAGUGGUCAGGAUGAUUAUUGGGCCUAAAGCAUCCGUAGCCGGCUUUGUAAGUUUUCGGUUAAAUCCAUGUGCUCAACGCAUGGGCUGCCGAAAAUACUGCAUAGCUAGGGAGUGGGAGAGGUAGACGGUACUCAGUAGGUAGGGGUAAAAUCCUUUGAUCUAUUGAUGACCACCUGUGGCGAAGGCGGUCUACCAGAACACGUUCGACGGUGAGGGAUGAAAGCUGGGGGAGCAAACCGGAUUAGAUACCCGGGUAGUCCCAGCUGUAAACGAUGCAGACUAGAUGAUGCAUCGGCAUAAUAGCCAUUGCAGUGUCUCAGGGAAGCCGUUAAGUCUGCCGCCUGGGAAGUACGUACGCAAGUAUGAAACUUAAAGGAAUUGGCGGGGGAGCACCACAAGGGGUGAAGCCUGCGGUUCAA